UUCUACACUAAGCCAGUGAAGGUUUUAGUUAUUUAUAGAGUCUAUGACGUGGCACAGUAUCCAUGGAAGACUUACUUGAAGAAUCACAAGACGCUUCUAUCAUGUGCUAUACAGCCAAGCUGGAUGUGAACUUGCAUGAGAAAUUUCACAGCUUGGUUUCCAAAUAUUCAGAAGCUCUACGGGGAUCUGUUGCACCUGUUCCCACACACAAGAAAGAUGUGAGCAGGAACCAGAAGAUGUAAGCUGUUGGAUGUAGCCUUUCCAGGCUGUAGCUGGCAGGUCCAGCAUCUCUGCUGAAGCUUCCCAUGGCACCUUGGCCAAGACAAGCAGAAGCACAACCCAUAGCCAGUGGGACACUGCCAUGCAUAAAUACCCAAGUACCUUGCCAGAAGCUAAGUAGAAAAUAAAAUUUUGGUGCAGAUGAUACUUGAAAAAUUGAGAAAUAGAUAUAGAAUACAGGAAGGAGAACAGAACAAAGCUGGGGGAAGUAAGGAAUAUAAAAGGAAAGGAAGUUGGUAAAGGAGGGAAAAAGGAAGUAUGGAAGAUUUAAUCCAGUCAAUUAGCAUUCAGUUCAAGGGCUUUGAACAGGACAUGCUCAUAGCACCACAGAGAAUAGCAGUGCACCAUAAAGAAUAAGGAUUUUCUAGCAUGUGAUAUAGAUCCAUUGUUAAUAAAGCUGAUGAGGAAUUUGCAAGGAAAGAAUAUCACAGGCUGUUAUCUGACAGAACUACAAUGUGUCUACUGAGAAAUCUAACCCAG
rnacentral:lncRNA from 1 species